rnacentral:rRNA from 1 species
AAACAACUCUCAGCAACGGAUAUCUUGGCUCUUGCAACGAUGAAGAACGCAGCGAAAUGCGAUACGUAGUGUGAAUUGCAGAAUUCCGCGAAUCAUCGAGUCUUUGAACGCAAGUUGCGCCCGAGGCUUGUCCAAGGGCAUUUCCGCUAGAGCGUCACCGCGCCCCCCCACCGUCCCCCCCCCUCCCAGCGAGGGCCGGGUCGAGUGAAAGUG